AAUGGAGGUCUUUGUCACUGCAUUCCACCUGGGCAGAAACAAAGGUCACUUUACUUGAUGGCUUAGUGAGAGCUUAUUUUAAUUAUAUGACAUUGCACUGAAUAAAGGACACCUGUAAGACUGAUAGGUCUCCAGUCGAAAUCUGCUCCCUUAAGCAGCUAAGCAGGACACUUUCCAAUUAGAAGAUUCAGACACCAGAGAUUUCUGAGGUGCAGACCACAUGUGCACAAGGAUGCUGGCUGCAGGUGCACAGGGAAGGCUGGCUGCAGGUGCACAGAGAAGGCUGGCUGCAGGUGCACAGGGAAGGCUGGCUGCAGGUGCACAGGGGAUGCUGGCUGCAGGUGCACAGGGAAGGCUGGCUGCAGGUACACAGGGAAGGCUGGCUGCAGGUGCACAGGGAAGGCUGGCUGCAGGUGCACAGGGGAUACUGGCUGCAGGUGCACAGGGAAGGCUGGCUGCAGGUGCACAGGGAAGGCUGGCUGCAGGUACACAGGGAAGGCUGGCUGCAGGUGCACAGGGAAGGCUGGCUGCAGGUGCACAGGGAAGGCUGGCUGCAGGUACACAGGGAAGGC